rnacentral:lncRNA from 1 species
CUAAAUCUAAACUUAAAACAUCAACUUUAAACCCUAAAUCAUCAACUCUAAACCCUAAACUAUGAAACAUCAAUUCUAAACACUAAACCCCGAAAUAUCAACUCUAAACCCUAAACCUUCAAAUCUAAACCCUAAAACAUCAACUCUAAACCCUAAACCCUAAUUUUUUUUGAAAUUCGAACCCUAAACCCCAAACCUUCAAAUAUCAACCCUAAAACAUCAACUCUAAACCCUAAACGUAAACCCUAAAACCCUAAACCUUCAAAUUUAAAUCCUAAAACAUCAACUCUAGGGUUUUAGGGUUUAGAGUUGAAGAUUUAAGGUUUAGGGUUUAGAGUUGAUGGUUUAGGAUUUAGAGUUUAGGGUUGAUGGUUUAGGAUUUAGGGUUUAGGCUUAGUGUUGAUGGUUUAGGGUUUAGAGUUGAAGUUUAGGGUUUAGAGUUUAGAGUUGAUGUUUUAGGGUUUAAAGUUGAAGGUUUAAGGUUUAGGGUUUAGAGUUGAUGUUUCCGGGUUUAGGGUUUAGAGUUGAUAUUUCUAGGUUUAGGGUUCGUAUUUUAAAAAAAUAGUGUUUAGGAUUGAUGGUUGAGGGUUUAGGGUUCAUAUUUCAAAAAAAAAAGGUUUAUUUGUUUUAGAUUUUGAUCCGUGCAACCGCACGGAUGUUUAUUUUUACUUUUCUAUACAUAAAUUAUUGUUUUAGAACA